rnacentral:rRNA from 1 species
UGGCGAACGGGUGAGUAACGCGUGAGGAACCUGCCUCAUACAGGGGGAUAACAGUUGGAAACGGCUGCUAAUACCGCAUAAGCGCACAGUACCGCAUGGUACGGUGUGAAAAACUCCGGUGGUAUGAGAUGGACCCGCGUCUGAUUAGCUAGUUGGUGGGGUAACGGCCUACCAAGGCGACGAUCAGUAGCCGGCCUGAGAGGGUGAACGGCCACAUUGGGACUGAGACACGGCCCAA